rnacentral:lncRNA from 1 species
CCUUCUUCAAUUGAUUCACACUACCAUACAUGGUAUUCUUAGCUCAAUUGAUAUUGUUAGAUGAUAAAUUGACGACAAUGUGAUAGCUUAGGAGAUGUCUAUUUUAUUGCUCUGAACAACUUCAUGACUAAGCCAGAAAACAAAUUCCUUUUUACUGUUGUCUGGCACUGUUUAUUUACUCCCUCGUUUGUGGGGCACUAUUUUGUAAUUUGUUUGAGUAAUCGAUAGUUGAAUACAUACCAUAAGCUCGAGAUAAUUAAGCUUAA